AGAACAGGUUCCGGCUGUGGAAGUGGAUGGAGCAAGAGAGUAAGCACCGGUCCCCAAAGGUUGAACACCAAAUAUCUUAGAAAUAUGAAGAAAAAGACAACAGAACUAAUUCUAUGCUUCAUUUAUCAGCGCCAGGUAAAAAAAAAAAAAAAAAAAAAAAGAACCAGUCCCGACAACCCUGUGCAGCUGAGGAGUGAAGACAAGUUUGGCUGCAAAAGAUCCCAGCUCAUCUUCUUAUAGCAAUUUCUGGUCUAAGCAAUGAGCCACCAGCUUCCUGUAGCAAGACUGGGGACCAACUGAAGAACAAGGUCAAAUCCAACAGGAGGAUUGGUAUUGCCUAUAGCUCCUUUCCUGGCCUCACUCCUACCGUCUUAAGAUGUGGAUGCUACAGAAACAACGUAGUUCCCUCCCAUUUCUUCUUUCUAGAUCACUGUAGCCCAAGCUCCCAGCAGUCUGACAGUAGUAAACCAUGAGUGCUAAUAGCUAUAGUGUUAUUAAGUAAAGUCUUAAAAAGGGCUUGAAAACCCAGGUGAUUAAAAAAAAAAUCUGUACAUAACUUAACAGACAUUAAAAAUCCUAAUCCUAUUCUCCACCUCAUUCCCAGCAUCCAUAACCUCCAUUCCUACCUAAUGAGAAGAAACAAGUAUGAUCCCGCUCUUCAACACUGGCCUCUAAGACUUCUCCAGUCAAGGGUACAGUGCCCUUUGUGAGCUAACCCAACAUGACUACAAAUGAAUGUUAGCUAUUUCCUAAAAUCAAAUCCACCUUCAACAAAUGAAAGGACUCGCCACCAUGGAGAAUAUUCUAAGCUAUGUGAUGUCAGCUCUGAUGGCAGUUUCAAAUGAAGGGGUCCGAAAUACUUUGAGCAAUAGCAGAAUGUAAUGGCAGUUGGAAUGAAUGUACAGUACAGCCUCCCAAAGCAACUGUUUUUAAAAAGACCAAACUCACUUAGAUGUUCAA